UACUUUGAAAAUAAGGAAAGCUUCACUAUCUUAUCUGAUUCUUGUAUUUUCCUAGUCAAGUCUGGAAUAAUAACAUCUGGCUGGAAGCUGUCUUGCUGGGGGAACUAGUUAGUAAUGAAUGACACAGCCUUAUAUCUCUCAUCUGCUGAUUUGUAAACACCCCGGACACAGAGCAGCCUUGAGGAAGAAGAUGAAAACACGUGAAUAAGACACCUGAAUCCUACCAGCAAACAAACAUGAGGAUUUUUAUCAGUGUGACAUUUUGGGAAAGACUACAAUCUAAGGAUUUUUUUUGAAGUGGUGGAUUCCUAUCUCUGUCAGAAUCAAACUGUAUACAUCACUUUAAAUAUGGGCUUGGCUGCAUUUUCUGCAGUCUUUUACUUCCAUGUUGACAGGAGAAAACAUGUUGACAGGUGUUAACAUCAGAAAGUCUUUUAACUUUUAAGAUCUUCCAGUUAAAUGGCCCUUAGGAACAAGAAGGGACGUGUCCAUACCAAAACUUUUUCUCACGUUGAUCUUGUGGUGAUGGUACCUAAAUGACAGAUUUGUGUGGAAGGGAGGGAAACAACCUGACUAUCU
rnacentral:lncRNA from 1 species